rnacentral:rRNA from 1 species
AAGGAACGCUGGCAGCGUGCAUAACACAUGCAAGUCGAACGAUGAAGCAUUCUUCGGAAUGUGGAAGAGUGGCGAACGGGUGAGGAACACGUAAGAAUCUGCCCCUCGGUCGGGGACAACUCUUGGAAACGAGAGCUAAUACCCGAUACGCUGUGGAGUGAAAGAAUUUCGCCGAGGGAUGAUCUUGCGUCUGAUUAGCUAGUUGGUGUGGUAAUGGCAUACCAAGGCGACGAUCAGUAGCUGGUCUGAGAGGAUGGACAGCCACAUUGGAACUGAGACACGGUCCAAACUCCUACGGGAGGCAGCAGUGGGGAAUUUUCCGCAAUGGACGAAAGUCUGACGGAGCGACGCUGCGUGAAGGAUGACGGCCCGCGGGUUGUAAACUUCUUUUCUCGAAGAAGAAUCAAUGACGGUAUUCGAGGAAUAAGCAUCGGCUAACUCCGUG